rnacentral:rRNA from 1 species
UACGUAGGGUGCAAGCGUUGUCCGGAAUUAUUGGGCGUAAAGAGCUCGUAGGCGGUCUGUUGCGUCGGCUGUGAAAACCCGGGGCUCAACCCCGGGCCUGCAGUCGAUACGGGCAGACUAGAGUUCGGCAGGGGAGACUGGAAUUCCUGGUGUAGCGGUGAAAUGCGCAGAUAUCAGGAGGAACACCGGUGGCGAAGGCGGCAUUCUGGACCAUAACUGACACUGAGAGACGAAAGCCAGGGGAGCAAACGGG